rnacentral:rRNA from 1 species
GACGAACGCUGGCGGCGUGCCUAACACAUGCAAGUCGAGCGAUGAAGUUUCCUUCGGGAAAUGGAUUAGCGGCGGACGGGUGAGUAACACGUGGGUAACCUGCCUCAUAGAGGGGAAUAGCCUCCCGAAAGGGAGAUUAAUACCGCAUAAUAUUACAGUUUCGCAUGAAACAGUAAUUAAGGGAGCAAUCCGCUAUGAGAUGGACCCGCGGCGCAUUAGCUAGUUGGUGAGGUAACGGCUCACCAAGGCGACGAUGCGUAGCCGACCUGAGAGGGUGAUCGGCCACAUUGGGACUGAGACACGGCCCAGACUCCUACGGGAGGCAGCAGUGGGGAAUAUUGCACAAUGGGGGAAACCCUGAUGCAGCAACGCCGCGUGAGUGAUGACGGUCUUCGGAUUGUAAAGCUCUGUCUUUGGGGACGAUAAUGACGGUACCCAAGGAGGAAGCCACGGCUAACUACGUGCCAGCCGCCGCAGUAAUAC